UGCGGCCCUAGGACUUGUCCCUGGGCCACACCUGACUGAGGGUCGGUUGACAUAAACCAAAGACCAGACUGUCUCUCCUUGAGAGAGCG
rnacentral:rRNA from 1 species